CCAUAGGCAACGGCCCAACACUCAGUCCUGACAACCACAAUAAAAACGACGACAGACACAGAUUAAUCUGCUCCGCCAGAAGAAUUUGGAAAUUACAGGAUAAGCCCUUAUUGGCCCUCACCCCUUAGUGCUGGCACGGUGACACUGGCAUUCUGCCUCUGACACUCCCCCCGGUGAAGGCUGUUGUAAGUGACGCCGCUGGAGGUGAUGGGAGGCCGGGGUCCGCUGUCCGUCCGGCUCCACGAUCCAGCAGGCCAGGUCGGCGUUGACCUCGGAGAAGACGAAGGCCGUGUCGUACUUGACACCCACCUCGCCCUCCUUUAUGGCUCUCACUGGAGAGGGACCGCAGCAGAACACACCUGGGUCAGGGGUACAGGAGGACAUCCAGUGGAGGGGGGGUACAAAGGAAGGGAAAAUAAAAACAUUGCAGAUCACCAUUUUGUUCAUUUGAAAUCUAAGUAAAUGUCAUAGAAUAGAAUAGAAUAGAAUAGAAUAGAAUAGAAUAGAAUAGAAUAUCUUCGUUGUCAUUGUACAAUGAAACUCUGUAAUCUAGUGCUGCUUA